AUGCAAUCUUAUGAUGAAAAACUUAAUUUAGAAGUUUCUAUACCUAGAAAACUUAAUGAUGAGUGGGAACCUACUAUAAAGAUUAGAACUAAAGAUCAUGAGUGUUUUACUUUGUGUGAUUUGGGUGCUAGUUUUUCCAUGAUUCCGAAAACUUUAUGUGAUAUUCUAGGUUUCCAUGAUCUUGAUGAUUGCUCUUUCAAUUUGCACCUUGCGGAUUCAACCAUUAAAAAGCCAAUGGGAAGGAUCAAUGAUGUUCUCAUUGUUGCAAAUAGAAAUUUGGUGCCCGUGAAUUUUAUCGUUCUUGAUAUAGAUUGCAAUCUUUCUUGCCCUAUUAUUCUUGGUAGACCUUUCCUUAGAACGAUUGGCGCGAUUAUUGAUACGAAUGAAGGGAAUAUUAGAUUCCAAUUUCCAUUAAAGGAAGGCAUGGAGCACUUUCCAAGAAAGAAAGUCAAAUUACCUUAUGAAUCUAUCAUGCUAGCUACUUAUGAAUUUAGUGCCAAAGAUGGCACUCGUUAG
rnacentral:rRNA from 1 species